rnacentral:rRNA from 1 species
GUAAGGAAUAUUGGUCAAUGGACGAAAGUCUGAACCAGCCAUGCCGCGUGAAGGAUGAAGGCCCUCUGGGUUGUAAACUUCUUUUAUAGGGGACGAAAAAAGCUCAUUCUUGAGCACUUGACGGUACCCUAGGAAUAAGCACCGGCUAACUCCGUGCCAGCAGCCGCGGUAAUACGGAGGGUGCAAGCGUUAUCCGGAUUUACUGGGUUUAAAGGGUGCGUAGGUGGGUCUGUAAGUCAGUGGUGAAAUCUCCGGGCUUAACCCGGAAACUGCCAUUGAUACUAUAGGUCUUGAAUAUCCUGGAGGUGAGCGGAAUAUGUCAUGUAGCGGUGAAAUGCUUAGAUAUGACAUAGAACACCAAUUGCGAAGGCAGCUCACUACGGGAUUAUUGACACUGAGGCACGAAAGCGUGGGGAUCAAACAGGAUUAGAAACCCCAGUAGUCC